rnacentral:rRNA from 1 species
UAAUACGUAGGGGGCGAGCGUUGUCCGGAUUUAUUGGGCGUAAAGAGCUCGUAGGCGGCUCAGCAAGUCGGUCGUGAAAGCCCGAGGCUCAACCUCGGGAUGCCGAUCGAAACUGCUGGGCUAGGGUCCGGUAGAGGAGAGUGGAAUUCCCGGUGUAGCGGUGAAAUGCGCAGAUAUCGGGAGGAACACCAGUAGCGAAGGCGGCUCUCUGGGCCGGUACCGACGCUGAGGAGCGAAAGCUAGGGGAGCAAACAGGAUUAGAUACCCUGGUAGUCCUAGCCGUAAACGUUGGGCACUAGGUGUGGCGGACUCAUUGACGUCUGCCGUGCCGUAGCUAACGCAUUAAGUGCCCCGCCUGGGGAGUACGGUCGCAAGGCUA